rnacentral:ncRNA from 1 species
GUAAAUACGUUGAAGGUUAAAAGUACAUGGCAUUCUGCUUAUAGAGAGGGAUUUUCGUUUGGCUGGAAGAAAUUCUAAGUUAGAACCAUGGAAAGCUCAACUGGAGUGCGACUAAUCCUCGCCGGUGCAUACCGUUACCAUGCUAAAGUGAUGAACAAAAGUUAUUUUUGUUUAUAAUUAGGGUGGUACCGCGAUAAUCUCGUCCCUGCA